rnacentral:misc_RNA from 1 species
GAAGAAGAAUUUGCAGAUAUAAAGAAGCUGAUAGGCAGCUUAUUCUAUGGACAUAAAUGAAAUGGCAGCAACAGCGAGCGUUCUUUCCACUCUAAUUUCUGCUCAUUCGACUCCUUCCUUUUUUGUUGCUUUCUCAUCUUUUCCAUUAUCCGGUAACAACCACCGCACCGGCGGCAUUACGAUUAGGAGGCAAUUGCCUUGCUUACGUCUUGGAACACCGGCGACCAACGGUGGUGCCCGUGUGUUGGCGUGUCUUCCAUCUCCGUCAUCUUCUGCUUCCCUUCCCCAAACCCCUAAAACCAGGCUCUACAUCAGUGGGCUAUCUUUUCGUACCACUGAAGAGAGUUUACGAAAUGCUUUUGAAACUUAUGGCCAACUGGUUGAAGUCAAUCUGGUGAUGGAUAAAAUAGCAAAUAGACCCAGAGGGUUUGCUUUCCUCCGUUAUGCAACUGAGGAGGAAUCUCAGAAAGCUAUUGAGGGAAUGCAUGGCAAGUUUUUGGAUGGCAGGGUAAUAUUCGUGGAAUUUGCAAAAUCUAGAACAGAGCUUCGACAAGGCCUUAAGAAUAGACGACUUUGAGGAGAUCGUUUUGUAGCUUCACCAAGGCCUUGAGCACAGCCAAUUUUUUGAAGAGGGCAACAUUAGUAGUAGCUUCCUUCCUUGUGCAUUUAAGCUGUUCGAUCCCUUGAAGAAGUUCCCUUGGCCAACCUCCAUCUUCCUUGUAGCAUCAUCUAUGAUGAAACGAAUCUAUAUGCUCUCAAAAUAUCACAGAAUCUAUCUGCCCCGGACAAAUUAACUCUGUAAGUUAAUUCCAGUGCAGCUAAUUUGUUUUUCAAACAUGAAUCAGUGGCUUCAUGUUGUUGACUUAGGUAGAUUUCUCUUAAGAACUGUUCCUCUUCAGCUAAACUGUUGGUUCCACGUAGCAUUCGGAAGUGCAAAAUUUAAUAGAGCCAACAAAUCCAAAAAUGAGACAAAAUCAGAUUAUCUUUUUUAUUUUUUAGUUGAUUGGAUUCCUACUAGGAUUUGAACUUGAAAUUUUAUAAUCCUAAAGACUAUUAUAACAUUAUUGAGUCAAACUAUUGGUAGAAACUGAGGAAAAAUUGUAAAGUAAACCAUGCAAAGACUUAGUAAGCUUGCAUACUUGACCUGGUAAAGCCUUAUUAUAACCUUCUGGAGGAACCAUGUAUGACUCUUCUUCAAUAAAAGCUGACAUGUUGAGCAGGAAAAAAAAAUCUCCUAACAAACUCACAGCUCAUUCCAGCUUACACCAAAAAACAACUCUCUAUUUACAAUUGAUUCCCGCAACUACACUACAAAAGUUACAUAUUUACACUAUUGGUCCAUGCAACAUCGGAAACAAGGCAAUUGCACUGCUCGCCAACAUCCUUUACAGCAAAAAAUAGUAUGGCAGUCUAUCAUCAUGAUUGGUUGGUGAUCGACAAUGGCACCUGCAAAUUUCUUUAGCUUCACGCGUAAAUUUUCCCCUGCAUUUUCAUUUAACCUUUUUAUGAUCGUCUAAUUUUUGUAGGCGAUAGACCUUUAAGUGUAAUUAGCUUUAGAGGGUGUUUGACGAAGAUUAUAAGCUGGUCAAAAUUUAAUUUUAAAUUUACCAUUUAUUUGAAAGAUUCUUAGAGCUUAUAAAGAAAAAAGAAUGGAGGAGAGGAGCGUUUCAUUCUGGUCCUCAUAAAAGCUAUACUUGUAAUUUAGUUUGAUUAAAUAAUUUAUCAUGUUAUCCUCAUUUAAUUUUAAAAUUUCACUAUAUAUCCAUAUUUCAUUUUAAAAAAAAAACUUAGUGCAUUUUUAGUCAUUUUAAUGAUAAUUGUGUUGACAAGUUAUUUUUUGCCAAACAUAUUCAUUGCUUAUCAAUCAUUUUAAAGCAUAACUACUUAAAAUUUUAACUGCUUAUAAAUUCAAUUUAGUUUAUAAGCACCUAGUGCUUAUGAGUAUUAAGUGUUUAUAAACCAAUUUUCAUUAGUUAAGGGUGCCUUCUAUGGUUAUUUGGUUUCAUACAAACAGUGUUGUUAAAGUCAAAGAAAGGUGUCGGGGGAGGCGAGACGAGCCCCAUGUGACUCGCUCGGCCAAGGUGAGGCAUUUGAGAUGAGUUGGCUGCCCCAUACCAGCAAAGCGAGAGGUGCUGGGGCAUUGAGGCGCCGCCUCUUCAAAUUGACGACAAUUUUGUUUUUUUAAUUUUUUCUUAAAAGCAUAAA